rnacentral:rRNA from 1 species
AUUGAACGCUGGCGGCAGGCUUAACACAUGCAAGUCGAGCGGGGGAAGGUAGCUUGCUACUGGACCUAGCGGCGGACGGGUGAGUAAUGCUUAGGAAUCUGCCUAUUAGUGGGGGACAACAUCUCGAAAGGGAUGCUAAUACCGCAUACGUCCUACGGGAGAAAGCAGGGGAUCUUCGGACCUUGCGCUAAUCGAUGAGCCUAAGUCGGAUUAGCAAGUUGGUGGGGUAAAGGCCUACCAAGGCGACGAUCUGUAGCGGGUCUGAGAGGAUGAUCCGCCACACUGGGACUGAGACACGGCCCAGACUCCUACGGGAGGCAGCAGUGGGGAAUAUUGGACAAUGGGGGGAACCCUGAUCCAGCCAUGCCGCGUGUGUGAAGAAGGCCUUAUGGUUGUAAAGCACUUUAAGCGAGGAGGAGGCUACUCUAGUUAAUACCUAGGGAUAGUGGACGUUACUCGCAGAAUAAGCACCGGCUAACUCUGUGCCAGCCGCCGCUGUAA